rnacentral:lncRNA from 1 species
AGAAAUAGUAAAGUGCAAUACUACACGACAGAGCCGAUGGCUAGAUUUAAUAACAAUUUAAUAAUAUAUUUCAUAUACAUAAUAUUAAACAUCUUUAUAAUGUCCUCAUAUAAAUUUAAAUAUGUAAAUAGUUCAAUAAACACUCACACAUAUGUAAAGCAAACCAAUCUCUUAAUGCAUGAUACAAAAUCUAAGAUAACAGUAGUAUUUAAAAAAAUUACGUGACCGAUCGAGUGGACCCUGUCGUGCCGAAUGAUUUACCGCCAAAUUAGAUAAAACACAUAACCUAAAAAACGC